GUAGAAAUGUACAGAAUAUGGGGAAACUCUCAUUGCUCUCAUCUCCAUUCAAAGACACGUGUCAGUGCACACUGGAGAUGGAUGGUAUGAAUCGAAGAAUACACACUGGAUGGAAACGUUAGUAGUUUGGAAAAUACAGGAAACUUCCAUUUUAACAAUAAUUAAAAUUCACAUGGGAGUGAGCCACUGCGACCGGCCCAUGAGUCUUUAUUAAUAGAGAUUUCUUACUGGUGUUAUGUGGCAGAUUCUGCAUAUUCCUCACCCAUCAUAUGUAUUCCACUUUCCUUUAUUAUGGGGAAAACUACUCUUUUUGGCAUGAUACAAUGUUGACUCCAUUUUCUUUGCUAAUAAGGACUUGGUAUCAAUUUAUCAGUAUGUAAAGUUUACCAUAGAGUAUUGUCUCAUGUGAAUCAUUCCCAUUUUUUGCUCUUUACUCUUUGUCGUUAUUUCUGAGUAUUAUUUGGAUGGUUCAUUUUGACUUAAGGAUAGCCCUGUGAUAUGACAAUAUUUUUAUCUAAUCUGAUGGAGAAAGCAUUUAGUCUCCUGAUCAAGUAUGAUGUUAGCUGCAGGUUUUUAAUAAAUGCCUUAAUUCAGUUUGAAGAA
rnacentral:lncRNA from 1 species